rnacentral:tRNA from 1 species
AGCCCCGUUGGUAUCUGUCUGUAAAUCAGACUGCUCAGCAUUCGAGGGUUCGAAUCCCCCACUCGCCACCA